GACGAACGCUGGCGGCGUGCUUAACACAUGCAAGUCGAACGGUAAGGCUCCAGCUUGCUGGGGUACACGAGUGGCGAACGGGUGAGUAACACGUGGGUGACCUGCCCUGCACUUCGGGAUAAGCCUGGGAAACUGGGUCUAAUACCGGAUAGGACCAUGGUGUGGAUACUGUGGUGGAAAGUUUUUUCGGUGUGGGAUGGGCCCGCGGCCUAUCAGCUUGUUGGUGGGGUAAUGGCCUACCAAGGCGGCGACGGGUAGCCGGUCUGAGAGGGUGGACGGCCACAUUGGGACUGAGACACGGCCCAGACUCCUACGGGAGGCAGCAGUGGGGAAUAUUGCACAAUGGGCGGAAGCCUGAUGCAGCGACGCCGCGUGGGGGAUGACGGCCUUCGGGUUGUAAACUCCUUUCACCAUCGACGAAGGGUUUCUGACGGUAGAUGGAGAAGAAGCACCGGCUAACUACGUG
rnacentral:rRNA from 1 species